AUGGCGUCUUGCUCCCACCCUUGGCUCUUCCCAGGCAUGUCGCCGCCGCCGGCUGCCUCCACCGCCGUGCCGGUUCCGAGCUUCUGCAAGUCCUCGAAGGUGUUUGCUAGUUUGCGUCAGCGGAGAAAGGCAGGGUCAGUCGCGCCGACCAGAACGCGGAGAUGCACGAUCAGGUGCGUCAAGGACGAGUCUAUCCAUUUUGACCCGUCGAAGAUCGAAGCGCCACCGUACUCCAGUUAUUUCGACUCCACAUCUGGUCAGCUCGAGCCAGCGUCAGGUGCCCGGGCAAGCAUACCUGGGCAGGAGUACUGGCCGGAGGGCACUGCAGCCCGCGUCCGUGCUGCCCGUGCACCUGCACCGGUCGGGGAGUCGGCCGGGACUCCGUCUCUUGGCAAGAAACCCGGGAGUAGGAGGAAAGGGUACAAGGGGCAGGUAGCGUCUGCAUCAGCGGCGGGCGGUGCAGAGACCAGUGGAGAUGACGGCGAGUUCAUUGUGGCCACUGAGGUUCCACUAGAUGAUACAUUGGAGGAAACAAAUGAUUCGCUGAAUGAAUAUGUCAUUUACGAGGCGCCCAAGGAGGAGAGUUUGAGCGAGUAUGAGAUGGACAAGAUGAUGGGGCGGCCACACCCAUUUGUUGACCCAGCAAAGGCGAUGUUGGCAGAGGAACCGAAAUCGAGCGAGGAGCUCUGGUGGAAUUGGAGGAGGAAGUCCGAGGCAGAAAUGUGGUCAAGGUGGCAGAGGAGGCGCCCAGAUGUUGACACGGUCUUUGCAAAGGCAAUGGCCGAAACUGGGCAGAUUAAAAUAUUUGGAGAUCACCCUACAAGAACAGAAGCUGCUCUUGCCAAGACAAGAAGAUAUUUACACAAAGAGGAAAGGUUAGAAGCAGAACAGAGGAGACUAGAAGAAAUAGGACCAAUAGCAUACUAUUCAGAAUGGGUAGAAGCAUAUAAGCAAAAGGACACAUCAUGGGAAGCCAUUCAGAAGCACUUUGAGGAGACUGGUGAAGAUGCAAAUACUCAACUUAUAACAAUGUUUCAACACCAAACUGCUGGGGAAUAUCGUAUCAUGAUGGGCACUGAUGUUCGUAUACAACGAGAUCCUUUGGCAAUGAGGAUGCGUGAAGACCAGAUUAAACAGAUUUGGGGUGGUGAUCCUGUUUACCCGACUGUGAACUAUGUUCAGGAUCCUGAUGAAGUGAUUGACUACAGGAGUCCGGAAUUUCAUGAGCCUACCCCUGAAGUUGUACCUUAUUUGAUGGAGCAUGGGAUAAUGAUCACGAAAGAAGAACUGGAUGCACGUUUGAUGGAAGAGGAAGAAGACAUCAAUCAAGACAUCACGUACAUUCCUGAAGUCAAAGAUCCCAUGGCUACUGCUGUUGAUAUUGGAGAGCAUUCUUUCAAUGAAGAUAGUGAUGAUGAGGAGGAGGUUGACAAAGCUGUCACACUGCCCGAGUCACUAGAGGAUGAGGAAGAUGGCGGGGAUGAGGCUGUGGAAGUUGAAGGGAAAGUGAGUCAAAACUGGAGUGUUCUAAAGACUACUGGGCAGGACGAAAAACCAAAGGAAAAGUUAAAGAAAGAUCAGAUGUCACUUAAAGACGCUAUUAAUGAGUCCGAGAACCUUACUGAUUUCCUUAUGGACUUUGAAGAAGAUGAGUAA
rnacentral:rRNA from 1 species